AUUGAACGCUGGCGGCAUGCCUUACACAUGCAAGUCGAACGGCAGCACGGACUUCGGUCUGGUGGCGAGUGGCGAACGGGUGAGUAAUGUAUCGGAAUGUGCCUAGUAGUGGGGGAUAACUAGUCGAAAGAUUAGCUAAUACCGCAUACGACCUACGGGUGAAAGUGGGGGAUCGCAAGACCUCAUGCUAUUAGAGCGGCCGAUAUCAGAUUAGCUAGUUGGGGGGGUAAAGGCCCACCAAGGCAACGAUCUGUAGCUGGUCUGAGAGGACGACCAGCCACACUGGGACUGAGACACGGCCCAGACUCCUACGGGAGGCAGCAGUGGGGAAUUUUGGACAAUGGGGGCAACCCUGAUCCAGCAAUGCCGCGUGUGUGAAGAAGGCCUUCGGGUUGUAAAGCACUUUUGUCAGAGAAGAAAACUGUUGCGCUAAUAUCGCGACGGGAUGACGGUAUCUGAAGAAUAAGGACCGGCUAACUACGUGCCAGCAGCCGCCGUAA
rnacentral:rRNA from 1 species